rnacentral:rRNA from 1 species
GUGAAUCGUCAUUCCUAGCUGAAUGCAUGCAAUCUCGUCUGAUCUUGGAAGCUAUGCAGGGUCAGACCUGGUUAGUACUUGGAUUGCAGAAAGUAAAGAUGAUUGAGG